UUGUCAUUUUGCCCAGGCUGAUCUGGAACUCCUGGGCUCAAGUGAUUCUCCUGCCUUGAUAUUAUGGCUUUUAAACACCAUUCUCCACUGAAACGGAUAGGGUCAUCUUGGAGAAGUGGAUGAUUUAAGCAUUUGAACAAGGAAAAUAGAAGAUGAGUCUGGAACAUUUUAUUGUGUCAGAAAGUUAGGAAGUUCUCAAAGAAUGAAGGAGGCACAUGCACGAGGAUGCAGGGGCCAGUUUGCAGGGGUCCACCUGGCUAAACCUGGGACAACUGGAGCAUUAAAAAAAUGCUCAUGCAUUAUAUAUAAAAUAACAGAAGAGCAGUGGGAAACCCUUCUUUAUCGAAGAAUGUUAACAGUGUAAAAAUAUACAUAAAUUUUAAAAACUCCGUGUUGCAGCCAUCCCUGCAAUAUUUGAUUCUGGCAAGGAUCAUUAAUGGAUUCUAAAACUACUGGUCAAAAGUUUAUGAGAGAAAGGGGUGUUUACAUACUCCCAAAGUACUAUCCUGUGGAUUAUAUUAUUUACACAGGGAAAUGGGUGCUUUAACAACAGAAACAUCUGGUGGAUCCCACCUUAACCAGCUGACCAAAUACUCACCAAAUACUCAAAUACUCCAGUAACGGGACCGAGUGACAUCGUAUGUCCCCUGAAGAGAUGCAAUGGAAAACACAUACUUUUGUGAUGUGACUGCCCAAAAGGUUUACCGUGAAUUGGAUGGUGAGGACAUCACUGGACGAACCCAGAUUGUGAGACAUUCAAAACACAGUUGGUCCAGACUUUUCAAAAAUGUCAAUAUAAUUAAAAAGGAAGGAAAAAAGGUGAGGGGCUGUUCUAGAGCAAAGGACAGGAAAGAGGUGUGAAAACCAAUCACGAAAACAUGUGAUCCUGGCUUGGAUCUUCACAUAGACUGAUGGAGGCAGACGUCCUCCUUGUCAGUGGGCACAACCUCCCCUCCUGGAUGCCUUGAUUCCAGCCCGAAACUCAGGGCCAUCCUCCCCACCCCGUAUCUAUGGCAUUUUGAGGGUAUGGAGGAGGGAAUUGUCAAGCUAUUUGCUAAACUUUCUCUGGACGUUCCCUCCCUCUCCCUGACCACCCCGCCCCACUUCCUGGCAAGCAUUCCGGCUGUGAUUUCAUCUGGAAUUACUGGAAUCACACUGUCUCCUGUCAGCUUUCUCUCCCUCCCCCGGCCCUCCUGCUGAUAGGAGACAGGAGCGAUGGAUGGUCUGAGUUAGCAGGGUCCCGGCACCACCCAGUGCAAAGGCACUGCACUCACGCACGCCAUACACAUGCUGGCUCACCUCCUCCAUCCCGUGCCUCCCCUGUCUUCAGCAUUCCCUCUGGAAUACAUCAGCACUGUUGCCUUUGGGGCUGGCCUGCCUGGGUGCACACUUGAGCUCCAAUUCACAGGGGAGGAGCUGUUCAUGGGAGACCCUGAAGUGAGCACAAAAUUUCUGCUCUCUAGAGACUCAUGAUGUGACAGGGCUGGAUCAUGACACCUGGUGCUGCUUCUACCACUGGAAUCCUUAACUUCUGGAUCGGCCUCAGUUUUCUCUUCUGGAAAAUGGGGACAAUGUUGCUAAAAUCACCUUUUUUUUUUUUUUU